CCUACGGGAGGCAGCAGUAGGGAAUCUUCCACAAUGGGCGAAAGCCUGAUGGAGCAACGCCGCGUGGGUGAAGAAGGUCUUCGGAUCGUAAAACCCUGUUGUUAGAGAAGAAAGUGCGUGAGAGUAACUGUUCACGUUUCGACGGUAUCUACACAGAAAGCCACGGCUAACUACGUGCCAGCAGCCGCGGUAAUACGUAGGUGGCAAGCGUUAUCCGGAUUUAUUGGGCGUAAAGGGCACGCAGGCGGUCGUUUAAGUCUGAUGUGAAAGCCUCGGGCUUAACCGGGGUAUUGCAUUGGAGACUGGGAGACUAGAGUGCAGAAGAGGGGGGUAGAACUCCAUGUGUAGCGGUGAAAUGCGUAGAGAUGUGGAGGAACACCAGUGGCGAAGGCGGCUCUCUGGUCUGUGACUGACGCUGAGGUUCGAAAGCGUGGGUAGCAAACAGGAUUAGAUACCCGGGUAGUC
rnacentral:rRNA from 1 species